GUAGAAUACACGUUUUCUGGUGCUUGCUGUCUCAUAGACAUGCAGUUAAACGGGAAACUCGUGCGAUAACGCAAAACCACAUCAAAUCGAGUGCUGCCCCCGCAACGGUGAUAGAAAAGACCUGACAACAACCCAUUGGAGUUGCUCACUAGAGCUUCCGAGAAGGGGUUAGGAAAUUGUUCUUCAGCCCGGAUACCGGCCAGAAAAUAGGUCUACGU
rnacentral:ncRNA from 1 species